AAAUAGUGACGUGACAUUCAGCCAAGUAUGGUGACCCAUACUUAGAAUUCAUGCUCUGCAUUUAACCCAUCCAAAGUGGACACACACAGCAGUGAACACACACUCACUGUGAACACACACCCGGAGCAGUGGGCAGCCAUUUAAUACUGCAGCGCCCAAGGAGUAGUUGGGGGUUCAGUGCCUUGCUCAAGGGCACCUAAGUCAUGGUAUUGCCAGCCAGAGAUUUGAACCCACAACCCUAGGGUUAGGAGUCAAACUCUCUAACCACUAGGCCACAACAUCCCAAAGAUGCUGCUAAUAAGUGGACAUGGCAACACUGCAAGAUCAUUCUCUGUGAAGCAGACUUUCAAAAAUAAACAACGCCUCUGUCAACAGUGAUUUUGUUACAAUUGUUGAAUGUAAUGAGUAUUUGGUUGCUGUAGUAUUACUUUAAUCAAAAAUAGUGGAUACCAAACACGCAAGACUCCAAAACUUUAAGAUUACAAUGGUGUCAGUCGCCGCACUUUCGCAAGUACACGCAUCAAUUUACAAUUUAGGGGAUUCAGUCCAGUAUUUUAUUGGGUUGUCACACCUGAAGGUUUACAGUGUGAACAUGGCCAUGAACACAAUUAAGACUGGGGCCGAUUUGAUUGGUUUUUGUCAAUGGGCCAUUUUGGGAAGAUAUAAAGCAUCAGAUUUUUUGCCAUAAUCUGAUAUAACACACAUCAACCAACGUAUUUGAGUGAAGUCUUUUACUCUGUUGUCAACAUGAAAUUAUUAUGCACAAUUCUUCAGUGCUUGUUCCACAUACUGUAAAAAAAAUAAAUGUGUUAGAUGCUGUUUCCACCAAGUAUAAAUAGAAAUAAAUAGCAUAUUGCAUACAAGUGCAAAGAGUGAAAGAUGCUCUUCACACAAAGUAUAAAUAGAAUACACUAUUUGUACUAAAGGUAAAAUAUCUGGUGGGCAAAAAAUUUGUGUUCCUGCAUAGUCUGCUGAUGUCACAAAUCACUGUCAUAUCUCUCAAACCAAUCAAGUCCUGAAGUCCAGUAUACAGUAUAUUCUGUUUUAUUCAGAAAUAUAACAUAUUUCAGGAAAAAAAGUGGUAAGUGCAAACUCCAUUUAAUGUUGACUUAAAAAUCAGGGACAAAUGAAUCUUUUACUGGUUUUAUUAUCUCUAGAGUCUCCUGUACAUGUAGAGCCCCUUCGACACUUACAAUGUUGUUUCCUAGAUAGGGUUUCUAGCACUGCACUGCAUGUGAGGGGUUCAUCUCAAUAAACUACACAAUAUUUAUGUUUUUCUUUGUUCUGUUAUAAAGGUCUUCGGGUAUAUGCCCCCAAAGAUUCUGAAAAUUAUGCAAUGGGACAAACCACUAAAUUGUACUGUAUGAGCAACAGUUUGCUUGAAACACAUUUUUCAAUGUAUUUUCAAAUCUUUAAACAAUUGUCAUGGUUGCAUGAAUGUUUUAUAGUUCCUUUUAGACGGUUGCACAAAAGCUUAAUUCUUAAAUAACUGGAGAAGAUCGGACAUAUCUCGUUUUCAUGAUCUUACUAAUAUUUAAAGUAGAAAAUCAUGUCAAAAAUAUAGAUUAUUUGAUAGCCUGUGAUGCACUGAUAGGGUGGAAACACUGAAUGAACUGAGCAAGAUUUAUUCACAUACUUUACUGAGAGAGUACAGUAUCACUCCACCACUGAAUUUUGUAUUUAAAAGGCAAAAUUGUGCUCAGCUGCACCCACAUCUGGUUAUAUGCCAUUUUCAGUAGUAAUACGCUAACAUCUCUUUUUAAUCUUUUUAAAAUUCAUUUUUCUAUGUUAAUCUCUGUUUCUAUGUUAAUUAUAUCAGGAUAAAUAAUGGCACUGCAUCAUCGAGAAAUGACAAUGACUCAGCACAUUUAGCACCUGGUUGAAAUGCUACAAAAUCGGGCCCGGUUUAAUGCUUAAUCUGUUAUCAAAUAUACAGGGAAUCUGCUUUUGCCAAAACAGUGUAGAAUCUCCCAAGUAGAGUAAAUUAAUUGCUAUUUUGUGAACUCUUAUGUAUUGUCAACUCUGGCAUUGUCAGUGUGUAUGUAAAUCUAGAGUUUAUAUAAUAUCUCUCUCUGACCUGUUUACAUAUCAGAGCUGUAAUAUUCUUGCUUUAUAUUUGAAUCGUUUUGAAUAUAAAAAUAUUUAUCAGGCCUUUGAGCAAACAGCUGCAAGAGGUCUAGUCUAUUCACGUGAAUGAAAACUGUGAAUGUUGAAAGUGACUCCAAAUAUCUGAAUGGUCAAGGUUCUGAUAUUUAAAACUCAGAUUUCAUUUUGGUAGCUUAGGAUACUCUGUCUUAACAUGCAGUUCUCUGUAAGAAACACCCUGUCAAGAAGCCUUCAAAAAGCAUAUUAAAAUUAAAAUGAUACUGAA